rnacentral:rRNA from 1 species
AUACGUAGGGUGCGAGCGUUGUCCGGAAUUACUGGGUGUAAAGGGAGCGUAGGCGGGAUGGCAAGUCAGAUGUGAAAACUAUGGGCUCAACCCAUAGACUGCAUUUGAAACUGUUGUUCUUGAGUGAAGUAGAGGUAAGCGGAAUUCCUGGUGUAGCGGUGAAAUGCGUAGAUAUCAGGAGGAACAUCGGUGGCGAAGGCGGCUUACUGGGCUUUUACUGACGCUGAGGCUCGAAAGCGUGGGGAGCAAACAGGAUUAGAUACCCUGGUAGUCCACGCUGUAAACGAUGAUCACUAGGUGUGGGGGGACUGACCCCUUCCGUGCCGCAGUUAACACAAUAAGUGAUCCACCUGGGGAGUACGGCCGCAAGGUUGAAACUUAAAUGAAUUGACGGGG